rnacentral:rRNA from 1 species
GGAGUCUGGACCGUGUCUCAGUUCCAGCGUGGCUGAUCGUCCUCUCAGACCAGCUAUGGAUCAUUGCUUUGGUAGGCCAUUACCCCACCAACUGGCUAAUCCAACGCGGGCACAUCCAUCACCGAUAAAUCUUUCCCCUUGCGGGCGUAUGCGGUAUUAGCGUUCGUUUCCAAACGUUAUUCCCCAGUGAAGGGCAGUUUCCCACGCGUUACUCACUCGUGCGCCACUGACUUCAAGAGAGCAAGCUCUCUUGUCAUCCGUUCGACUUGCAUGCCUAAGACCUGCCGCCAGCGUUGUUCUGAGCCAUGAUCAAACUACU